rnacentral:rRNA from 1 species
UACGUAGGGUGCGAGCGUUGUCCGGAAUUAUUGGGCGUAAAGAGCUCGUAGGCGGUUUGUUGCGUCGACUGUGAAAACCUGGGGCUUAACUCUGGGCUUGCAGUCGAUACGGGCAGACUAGAGGUAUGCAGGGGAGAACGGAAUUCCUGGUGUAGCGGUGAAAUGCGCAGAUAUCGGGAGGAACACCAAUGGCGAAGGCAGCUCGCUGGGACGUUACUGACGCUGAGGCACGAAAGCGUGGGGAUCAAACAGG